UACAGAGGGGGCAAGCGUUGUUCGGAAUUACUGGGCGUAAAGGGCUCGUAGGCGGCUGGCUAAGUCGGAUGUGAAAUCCCCAGGCUUAACCUGGGAACUGCAUUCGAGACUGCAUUGCUAGAGUAUGGGAGAGGGAAGUGGAAUUUCAGGUGUAGCGGUGAAAUGCGUAGAUAUCUGAAGGAACAUCAGUGGCGAAAGCGACUUCCUGGACCAAUACUGACGCUCAUGUGCGAAAGCGUGGGGAGCAAACAGG
rnacentral:rRNA from 1 species